rnacentral:lncRNA from 1 species
UAUGCUUUCAAAAGAACGUGGAUUGCCUUUUGCAGUAUGAAUACAUGGGAUUCGGUUAUAACUGCAGAAUUUAUGUGAAUUUGUUACUUUGCUUUAUUAUUGUUAUUUUAUUUAUGGGUCCAAUUCUUCUUCGAACUCCUCCGCCUUUCUGGGAAAUGCCACGUGCUCCUUUGCCUAAGGCCACUGAUGUGGUUGGUCUGCUUACAAAAAUGAAGCUAGAGAUUGUGCAAUCGGGAAAGAUACCUAAGAAUCAGGCAUUGCUAGUGUAUAACCGUAAUUUGAAGACUGAAGAAGAGGCCAGAAAAGAGGAUGAUGCUAAUUUGAAGUUGCUCUAGAUGUUUUUAAUCAGUCUUGCCUUUUGGUAUCUCUUGGCUUUCGCCUUUUGCCUUUUGGUGUGCAUAUAUGUAUUUAUAUGCUUUCAAAAGAACUUGCAUAUAUGUAUUUUGCCAUUUGCAGUAUGAAUACAUGGGAUUCGGUUAUAACUGCAGAAUUUAUGUGAAUUUGUUACUUUGCUUUAUUAUUGUUAUUUUAUUUAUGGGUCCAAUUCUUCUUCGAACUCCUCCGCCUUUCUAGGAAAUGCCACGUGUUCCUUUGCCUAAGGCCACUGACGUGGUUGGUCUGCUUACAAAAAUGAAGCUAGAGAUUGUGCAAUCGGGAAAGAUACCUAAGAAUCAGGCAUUGCUAGUGUAUAACCGUAAUUUGAAGACUGAAGAAGAGGCCAGAAAAGAGGAUGAUGCUAAUUUGAAGGAUGCUGAAGCUGCCAAAUUUGCCGAGGACCCAGUGGAGGAGUUCAAAGCUGCAGCUCGACGGGAAAUUACAAGGGACAAAAUGCUUAAACUUUUGGUAGCGGUUGGAAUCUUGGAGUCGACCUCAAGUGCUGUUGCUGGGGUUCGGGUAGC